GUGUCAGCAGCCGCGGUAAUACAGAGGUCUCAAGCGUUGUUCGGAUUCAUUGGGCGUAAAGGGUGCGUAGGUGGCGUCGUAAGUCAGGUGUGAAAUUUCGGAGCUUAACUCCGAAACUGCAUUUGAUACUGCGGUGCUUGAGGACUGGAGAGGAGACUGGAAUUUACGGUGUAGCAGUGAAAUGCGUAGAGAUCGUAAGGAAGACCAGUGGCGAAGGCGGGUCUCUGGACAGUUCCUGACACUGAGGCACGAAGGCCAGGGGAGCAAACGGGAUUAGAUACCCCGGUAGUCCUGGCAGUAAACGGUGCACGUUUGGUGUGGGGGGAUUCGACCCCUUCUGCGCCGGAGCUAACGCGUUAAACGUGCCGCCUGGGGAGUACGGUCGCAAGAUUAAA
rnacentral:rRNA from 1 species